CCUACGGGGGGCUGCAGUGGGGAAUAUUGGACAAUGGGGGCAACCCUGAUCCAGCCAUGCCGCGUGUGUGAAGAAGGCCCUCGGGUUGUAAAGCACUUUCAGUGAGGAAGAACGCCUGGUGGUUAAUACCCAUCAGGAAAGACAUCACUCACAGAAGAAGCACCGGCUAACUCCGUGCCAGCAGCCGCGGUAAUACGGAGGGUGCGAGCGUUAAUCGGAAUUACUGGGCGUAAAGCGCGCGUAGGUGGCUUGAUAAGCCGGUUGUGAAAGCCCCGGGCUCAACCUGGGAACGGCAUCCGGAACUGUCAAGCUAGAGUGUAGGAGAGGAAGGUAGAAUUCCCGGUGUAGCGGUGAAAUGCGUAGAGAUCGGGAGGAAUACCAGUGGCGAAGGCGGCCUUCUGGACUGACACUGACACUGAGGUGCGAAAGCGUGGGUAGCAAACAGGAUUAGAUACCCUUGUAGUC
rnacentral:rRNA from 1 species